CAAGAGGCCAAGUUAGGAUGUGAACCCGGAAUUGUUUGACUCUAAAGCCCUGGCUCUUUCUACUAUAGGAUGCCCCCAGCAGUAUUUUGGUGACGUUCAGGAUAGAAAGGUUACCGAUAAUGCAAGUUUGGAAACUGAAACAGGAAGGAAUGCAGGCUGAAAAAGCUUUUAUCCAGCCCACAGCGGUUCUCUCUCCAGAUGCAAGUUGCAGGUCCUUCUAGUUGUGCUAUGUGGGACGCCGCCACAGCGUGGCCUGAUGAGCGGUGCCAUGUCUGCGCCCAGGAUCAAAACCGGCGAAAGCCUGGGCCAUGAAGUGGAGCGUGCGAACUUAACCACUCGGCCACAGGGCCGGCGCCAGGAAGAACUUCUGAAGCUAACAAAUAAACAAACAGCACAAUGACAUCAAGAGAGAGAGAAAGAAAGGGUAGUGUCUGAGAUGUGAACGUGGGCAUUGCCUUCUGGGGGAAUGGCCGCUCUUGGCAUGGUUAAAAUGUAAAACAUCCAUCCCAGCUAUAUGAUAUAUAUAGAUAUAUAUCUAUAUCUUCAGAUAGAUUCUUUAUCUCUGGACCCUGAUGAUAGGGGCUCAUCGUGAUCUGCUUUGUUCUUCCAGCUUAAAACUGUCACCAGGAGCCCCGGAUAAAAAAUACAGCCUCUGAUUCAUGCACAUAGUCAGGAAACAUCCCUUGUGCUCAGUACAGAAACAUGUCGGUCAACCUGGGAAAGGAAUCACCACCACGAAAUAUGCUUUUAGCUUGCCAAAGCUUAGCAGCUGCAAGAGCCAAAAACCCAGCUGCCUGGACUGUCUGGGGAAGAUGGGGGCCGGGGUAGAGGGUGGGGGAAGAAAGAGAGGCUUUCUAAAUCACCUAAUUUCUGCCUCCAACUCCUGUUUAAUUCCAAGCCAAAACUCACCUCGAAAUGUCUCAAGGGCCAACCGCUCCUAAAAAAUCGCGUUCAGCGCCACCCCUUCCAGUGCUGUGCCUGCCGGCCAGGUGAAGCAGAUGGCUUUUAUUGAUUAAUUUAUUUAUUUGGAAGGGGCUACUUGAAGUCAGGAAAUUCCAGCGAGACAGAGCGCGUCGCCCUGGCCAGAAUUGCCGUGACAAUCAUAAGCAGACACCCAGGGAGAGGCGCAUUAAAAGCAAUCACAGCGAAGUCCCAGGAAGCUGGGGCAUUUUCAGUCUCUCUCCUGUCCGGGCCUCCAUGUCAGCCGUGCACUUAGGAAGAAAUACUCAUUUGGUUCAACAUUCUGCUGUAUUAAAGGGUUCGUCUGAGCUAUGUUGGGCCUGCAUUGUCAAAAGGGCUCCACAAAUCAAACAUGCCUUGGACUUGGGCCUCCCCUUGAAGCCCUCCUUAUACAGACAGACCCAAACAGACAUUCCCACUACCUUAGGGCCCAGCACAGAAAGUCCUCUUUAAUAAACAUACCCCAUUUUUCAGUGGAACAGCCUCAAGGUGUCAAAAGUACAUAAAGGUCUGAAAGCUGAAACCCUAGAUAAACAGUGCGCCGAAAUAUAUUUAGCAAAAAAUAUUGAAAGCCACAGGAAAAAUAUGUUCUCUUCCUGGGAUGUUAACGAAGGUUUAGGUUCAGGAAACCUCCAGGAAAUAGCAAGUUGGGUUGAGAAGGAAUGCUGCUCAAUGUAAAUAAAUCGCUAAACCUCUUUGGCCUCCAUAGGCCUUGGCUGGAAUGGAGUAUUUCAUUUCUUCCCCAUUAACCAGGCCACCCGGAGAGUUGGCAUUAUAGACCUGAACACGUACCAAAUCUGAAUGUGCUGUUUUGUUUCUGUACAUUGAAUCAGACUGUGUUUCAAAUGGCAGCUUGUGCAAAACGGGGGGCCGGCCAUCCAGACUGGUGCACCUUCACUCUGGGUAAAUGACAGACCUGUUUCACCUCGGAUCACCCAGUGUCUUGUCUCCCACAGGAACAUCCCCUCUGUGGUUGUUACUCAGGGUGAUGUCAUGCUCACUCGAAAGCCCACGGUUCUGAGGGACUCGGUUGCCUCUGCUGCAAGAAGACGCCUUUAGAAAGACCCAGAUUUCCUGCAGGCUCAGGGUAGGGAGAGAGAGAACAAGAAAGGGCAGGCAACCACUCUCCCUAAGAUGGAGGCUGCAUGACGUAAGUGGCUGGCUAAAAUAUCUGGCAUCCUUGCAGUUUUAAG
ensembl:lncRNA